rnacentral:lncRNA from 1 species
UUUAUUAAGCACACUAAGCAAAAGAUAUAUAAGCACAAACUCUUUAUUUGGUUUUUCAUGGUUAUGUAUAUUUAUAUUUUAAUGUAGUAUAAGUAUAAAUGUAGAUAGAAAUACUUAGCGGGAUAAAUGGGGGUGCUCUCCCCCAAGCUGAAUUUUGACGUAAUUUCUUCUUAUGUAGCUAGCAGGUGGUAGAGGUGUAUUUGAAAGUCGGCAGCACCCUAACAGCGAUUAGAAUGUCCUCCGUUUGCUAGUCUUCUUGAUCCUUGAAUUCUGUGGAGCUCAAAUAGACAACAAAGCUUUGUGAAACUGAUUAAGUGUUAGCAUAAAUAUCUAGCCUUUAUCAUGUUGAGCCUCCUCAAUAAGUGUUAGUCUCUAUUUUUUAUAUUUUCAUUUUUAUAGAGCAGAAAAAAUAUUUAUUUUAUUUUUGUGCCACCACAGUGAAUGUACUUAUGGGUUUUAUGCCACUCGUGUACUCACAUGGGGCUUACUAUUUUUUAACAUUUUUAUUUUCUUUUUAGGAUAGUACGAACAUGAUUCACUAAGCAAACUAUUUAAAUAAUUAAAAAGAAAAGGAUAACUACCAAGUUUACCUCUUGGCAAGGUGUUCGGUGUUUUUAAGUCCUCCGAACGGAACUCUCCGUUUUCUCAGUCAUCCUGGGAUUCGUUGGACGGCGUAGUCGGUGGUACCGGCGGCGACUCCUCUUCGUGUAUAACUAUCUUCUCUCUCCAGACCUGACUCGGUGCUACGGUCUCCUCAGGAUAGUUCUGUAACAGAACCGUCCAAUUUAUAAGAAUUCAAGUGAAUUAGCGACCACGGAGGCAGUCAAGCCAAUGGACUUGAACCCAUAUAAACCCGGUAGUCCGACGAAAUCUCAAAAGACCUCGAUUCAACCAACAUACAACCAAGAUCGUACAUGAUCAAGCAUCACCGUCACCGAUUACAACAUUCAUCACAGAACAUAGUUUUACAUCACAUCAGAGAUUAAAGUGGUUAUUACAAACCAUAGCAGUAGCGGAAAUAAAGUAGUUUUGAAGCAACACCAACUCAGUUUAUAAUACAUGCCAGUUCCAUGGUCAAGUCCCAACAAAAGCACAACCGAAGAUAAAGGAGGUGAUCACGCCCAUGAUCUAUUCAUCAUCCGCAGCCGGGUGAGGACAUUUAGCACAGUAGCCGUGGUAAACGACAUCAUCUGCAACAGGGGUAAAUAAAACCCUGAGUACGAGAAUGUACUCAGCUAGACUUACCCAUCAUAAACCAAAAUAAAGUGACACCAAGGAGUAUGCAAGGCUGAUCUUUGUGGACUGGUUUGACUCACCUUUCUCAUAAAAGCCUUUGUUGUAAGUAACUUAUUUAUCAUAUUUCAGCAGCAAGUUCAUUACUUAGCAACUAUCCACCAGAUUAGCACCUGUUCUAAGCAUACACUUGUGUAUUUAAGCAUUACAAUAAUUACCAUAUCCAGAUUUUCACAUAGCUAUCAUCAUUCUCAUCAUAACCAUUAAGUUUGUUUAGUGAAUUCUACGUUGCCGCUGCCCAAGUUAAGUUCUCACUAUCCGGGAGAGACGGCGAUUCGAAUCGAUUCCUAUCUAGCUGGAGGGGUAUUCCUAACACUCACCCAAGCAUACUUCAUGACGGCAGCUCGGAUCACCUUUAGCACAACUCCGGACCAAUUCGCGGGUCCGUACGGCUCCGCACCCCAGGGACCGCCAAUCUGCCAGGGUCAGGACUCUAACCUGACACCUCGGUCUUACGCCAUUGACUCCCCGCACAUCCUUGCUACCAACCGGGGUGUGCACUUAAACCGAACGGGGUAUCCGGCUGGAGAUGCACUCGUAGGCUUCGCGGUCGGAACGACUUAUCCGGCCAACUAAGUGAUAGGCAUGCGUUCAACAUGACACGGGGACGUACAGCGAUUCGGUCCUUAAACGACACAGACGGGGAUAGAUUCACACCUAAGACCUCCAUGCCUUGUUGCUGCACUAUCGUCAUCCCGCCCGGUCUCAAAUUCAUUAUUAACACAUGGUUAUUUCCACGAUAGCAAAUAUAGCCAACCGUGAUCAUCAUCCACCUAACUCUCGCAGGUGACAGGAAAUCACCCGGCUUCUACCGAGCUAAGCAUGGCUAAGCAUUACUUUGAUCCUGGACCUACUUUGGUGAGGUAUGAGGUGGACAAGGUAGUCAUUAUGCAGCAAAGGUGUCAUAUCAACGCCUACCACUUAAUGCAACAAUAUAUAACCAUAGUCAAUUGAUAGCUGAACACAAAUAAUAAAAUAGUAGGAGGCUUAUAAUGCUCCGGGGCUUACCUUUGAUGUAAGUAGAGGGACGAUGGUCAGGACACUCUGGCAAGUCCUCCUCCUCCUCAGCUCCUUGAGGUAGCUCCCCUUGCUGUCCUUCCGGCUCUGGCAACUCGAACUCCAGCACCGUCACUCCCUUGGGUACACCUAUGUAUGCAUGACAAGGAGAUGAAUAUGGAGAAUGCACAUAUGGUGCAUGAUGCCAAGAUGAGGAGCCAAAGGGACAUAAAACAAGGUAUAACAUGAGCAUAAACUUCUAAGAAUAAGUGAGUCAUGGAAUAACAAGUAAAUGCAUACUUCUUCUCUGGUAGAGAGACUAAAUAGACAAGUUAAACAAGUCCUAGCUACUCCUACCCAGUCACUGGUUUAGUAGACAAACCAACCUGUCACAAGUUUCAGCCAUAACUUAAGCAUCCGUUAACCAAACUAAGCAAUUAAGCACUUUCUGGAAAGCUUAGCAAAUUGUCUACAAUUCCUUUUUAGACAUCCUAGACUGAUGCCCAACUUAAAUAUGCUAAAACAUACAAAGUUGGCUGGCUGUCCUGGAAAAUGCAGAGAGCAAGCACUUUGCAGCAGCUACUUGAAAUAUUCAUAACUUUUAAACUACUCAACCAAAUGUCAUGAAACUUGGACACGAAGUAGAUUAGCAAGUUAGCUACAAGUUUGUUGUAGACAAGUUUUCCAGAAAAUAAAAUCUUUAAUUAGUUUUUAAGCAGUUGCCAUCAGCUACACAGAAAUGCUCUAGAAAAGGCAUAAAUAGCCAAAAUAAUAUUUUGCACAUAUUGAGAAUGUAUCAAAGGGACAAUCCAAUUGCACCAAUAGAUAGAACAUGACUAAGAAACACUAGAAAACAUCAUGGCAAGGUCUAAACUCAUUUCUAUCAUCACCUUUUUCAUUUAUUUAAUUAUUAAGGUGAUUUAAUGAACAUGCAUUCCAAGUGUUCCAAAAAUCCUAAGAAAAUUACAGCAAGCUACUUAUGCUAACAUAAGAUGACUGUAAAAUGUUCAGAACAUUUGCACAUACAUAUUAUGAGAUACAAAAAUAACAAGCUAGCAAAGGCAUGCAAGGCAUAAAUGUGAAACCCUAUCAAAAAGUGUCAAACAACAGAUUUCAGAUUUUUCCUAGCCUUGUCUACAUAUAAGUGCAAUACUCAGCAAGUUUCACCACAAAAGGAGUAACAACUUAAUUAUUAAAAAUACCACAAGAAACUCCUAUUUAAGAAAGAAUUAUUUUUAACUCCACACUCAGGCUUCCAAAAAUCAUGAUAAAUUUAUCAGAGCCUAGUCACAACAUAAGUAAUAACUCCCUAAAUUUGCAUGGCCAACAGAUCAAUAGAUUUCAAGAUAUAAUUACCUCCCAAAAAUCCAAGAUUAAUUUAUAUCUAUUUAUUUCUGCAAAAACAUGGCAUGUUUCAUAUUUUUAUUAAAAACUAGACUUAUGCUGGAACCUAGCAAAAUUGGAACCAUAUCAUUUGGAUCUAUAAAACUCCAGAUAUGAAUUUUUCAAAAACAGCACAGGCUCUGCAAAAACAAUGAACUAGGGGGAGUGAGAGGGAGAGGCUGACACCCGGGACCCGCGCGUCAGAGAGACAGAGACAGGGGAGAUGCUCGUCGCCGGCGAAGCUCAACGACGACGAGGUCUCGGCCGGAUCCAAGGGCAUCUACGUGUUCCUCUCAUCAAGGCGACUCUGUUGACCUACUUUACCCGCGCUCUACUGGACCCUAAGGUGCUCGCCGUCGGGAAUGGCGGAGCGGCGGCGCUGCGCGGCGUUACGCCGGCUGAUCCAGGCAAUGGCGACACGGUAGAGGUUGCGGACGAGCAAGAGCGGCUCAAGGUGAAGCUAUAGGAAGAAGAUUCACGGCCAGAGCUGAACCAGAGAGGUCUGGCCACGUUGCCGGUGAUCUCUGUGAACUCCGGCGAGGUGGAGCUCGCGACGGAGAUGGCAAUGUGACUUCACCGGUGCUCGGCUACGGGAAUGGAGUGGACGCCGAGGUAGAGGACGUCAAGGCGGAGCUCUGGACAGGUUGGCAUGGCCGGAGGCCGGAGACGCGGUGGAACGGCUAGAGAAGCUCGCCGAAACGCGGUGCGUGGCAUCUUGUGGACAACGUCGGGGCUGACAGGCGGGGUCGCCAUCGACGUACGGUCGACAGGUGGCCGGACACACGGCGGCGGACGGUUUCUGUCCAAACUGAAUCGGGCGAUUCAGUCGCCAUGGCCAGUGACUGAAACCCGAUCUUCAACAACGUUUUACUCUCAGCUCAAUCGAUGGUUUUGGCUGGGAUUUGAUCCUCUAGAUAGAGCUACACGAGUUCUAUAACUUUGAUUACACGAGCUUAGUCUAAAUCGGUCUAGAUUUCAAACUACAAGGCUUCAAACAACCCUACCUCGAAACUGUCUCCUUCAAGACUUAGCCAAAUUCGGCUAAGUGUGAAAUCAGCCCUGAUUUUUGGCAAGUGAGCAAUUUUUGGAUGUGUUCUAAGCUUUUUCGUAAAAAGUCAUCAACAUAACUUUUGUAGCUUAUGAAAUUCUCUACAACUUUGUUUCAGGUGUCAAAGACAUGCAAGGUAUCUAACAUUACUUUCAUAAAACAUCUUUGAUUGGAGGUUUAGGGGGUCAAAUAAGCCAUUCUAGGUUUAACCAUAACCUAGGGGCAAUUUUUGGCCAAAACCUUCAACAUGAACUUUGCUCCAAAUGAUAUUCUAAACAUGAUUGAGGUAUUUUGGAAGACAAUGAACAUUUGUAAGGAUUAGUCACCCACUAAGGUCACUCAAACAACUCACACAAGCAAUAUAAUCAUAUAGUGCAUAUAGUAAAUGGCAUGUGAUCAUGGUAUGAUGCUCAUGAGUGAUCAUGAUGAUGCUUAUGUUGAUGCAAUGCUCAUGGUUAACAUGCAAUCUAACACUAGGAGUGUUACAGCCCUCCCCCCUUACAAAAAUCUCGUCCCGAGAUUUGGAAGACGUACCAUUUUUCAUAGAAUGAGGGAUAAGUUACUUGUAAAUAGUCUUCCCUUUCCCAAGUGGCAUCUCUCUCAUUUUGACGGUUCCACAAAACUCUAAAAAGUUUGAUCACCCUCCCACGAGUAACUCGUUCUUUGACAUCAAGAACUUGUACAGGCUUUUCUUCAUAGGAUAGGUCUGACUGCAACUUGAUAUCUCUUGUUUCAACUCUCUCUUCGGGCACACGAACACACUUCUUAAGUUGAGAUACGUGGAACACGGGGAAAAUAGCUCUCAUUUUGGGAGGUAGUUGUACUUUGUAAGCUACCUUGCCACUCUUCUCAAUGAUUUGGUAGGGACCUACAUACCUAGGGGCAAGCUUUCUUUUAACGCUAAAGCGAUUUACUCCUUUCAUGGGUGAUACUUUUAGGUACACAAAGUCACCGACUUCAAACUCGAUUGGCUUUCUUCUUCGGUCAGCAUAGCUUUUCUGCCUAGCUUGGGCAGCUCUCAUGUGUUGCUGGAUAACAAGAACUUGCUUUUCUGCUUCCUUGACAAAGUCAAAUCCGUAGUACCUCCUUUCACCAGGUUCAACCCAGUUUAGAGGAGUUCUACACUUGCAGCCAUACAAAGCUUCAAAAGGAGCCAUUUGGAUGCUCUCUUGAUAACUAUUGUUGUACGAGAAUUUAGCUAAGGGUUGCCAUUUCUCCCAUGCACCCUUGGAAGAUAUAACACAGGCCCUCAACAUAUCCUCUAGAAUUUGAUUCACACGCUCAGUCUGACCGGAGGUUUGAGGAUGAUAGGCUGAACUGCGAACCAACUUUGUACCAAGGAGUGAAUGCAGAUGCUCCCAAAAGCGAGCAGUGAACUGAGGACCUCUAUCAGAAAUAAUAGUGCGAGGCACUCCGUGCAAUUUAACUAUCUGAGAGAAGUACAACUCAGCAUAGUCGAUUGGUCGGUAUGUAGAGUGUACAGGAAUAAAAUGAGCUGACUUGGUCAAACGGUCAACAACCACCCAUAUGGAAUUGUGUCCUUUUUGAGUAAGGGGAAGUCCAAAAAUGAAAUCCAUGCUGAUUUCUUCCCACUUCCAACCUGGAAUUGAUAACGGUUGCAAUAAACCUGCAGGUUUGAGAUGAACUGCCUUUACUCUGCAGCAAGUAUCACACCUAGCAACAUAAGCUGUUAUCUCUUUCUUCAUUUUGGUCCACCAGAAACGAGGUCUCAAGUCUAGGUACAUUUUGCUACUACCCGGAUGAAUGGACAACUUGGAAGAAUGAGCUUCUUCUAAAAUUUUGUUGCGUAGGUCACGGUCUUUGGGUACAACUUGUCGAUCGUCAAACCACAGUACACCUUUCUCAUCUACCCGGAAAUGCUUGGUGUCUUGCUCUUGCAUUUUUCUCUUGAUAUGAAAAAUACCUAGAUUAGAUUUUUGGAGCUCUAUGAUUUGACUUUCUAAUGAGCAGCUGACUGUGAUGUUGUGCAGGACCACAGGAUGCAACAAAUUGAAGCCUUCCUCUAGGAGAGGUCUAACAUGUUGUUUCCAACUGAGAGCAUCAGCUACAACAUUGGCUUUGCCUGGAUGAUAGUGCACUUCUAAAUUGUAGUCUUUUAUCAAUUCCAGCCAUCUUCUUUGUCUCAUAUUCAGCUCGGGUUGUGUGAAGAUAUAUUUGAGGCUCUUAUGGUCAGUGUAAAUGUGACAAAGAUUACCCAACAGAUAAUGUCUCAAGAGUUUCAAUGCAUGUACAACUGCUGCUAACUCUAGAUCAUGAGUAGGGUAGUUGGCUUCAUGUUUCCUCAGCUGCCGAGAAGCAUAGGAAAUAACUCGGCCUUCUUGCAUAAGCACACAACCUAGGCCAGUGCCAGAUGCAUCACAAAAGACAUCAAAUGGCUUUUCAAUGUCAGGCUGUGCCAGAAUAGGAGCGGUGGUCAGCAAAUGGCGUAGAGUAUUGAAAGCAACUUCACACUCCUGGGACCACACAAACUUCACAUCUUUUUGCAGUAGCUUGGUCAUAGGCUUCGCUAUUUUGGAGAAGUCUGGAAUAAAGCGCCGAUAAUAUCCAGCUAGACCGAGAAAGCUCCGGACUUCGUGCACUGAAGUCGGGGCCUUCCAGUCUAGAACCUCCUGCACCUUUGACAGGUCAACAGAAAUACCCUCUUCGGAUAAAAUAUGGCCUAAGAAAGGCACUUUCUUCAGCCAAAACUCACACUUGCUGAAUUUGGCAUAGAGCUGAUGUUCUCGCAAUCUAGUGAGUACAAUCCGAAGGUGCUUCUCAUGUUCUUGUGCAUUUUCAGAAUACACCAAUACAUCAUCGAUGAACACCACCACAAACUUAUCCAGUUUAGGCAUGAACACCGAAUUCAUCAGGUACAUGAAAUGAGCAGGGGCAUUAGUCAGACCAAAGGACAUGACUAAAUACUCGUACAACCCAUACCUGGUAGAGAAAGCUGUUUUAGGAAUGUCUUCGGGUCGGAUCUUGAUUUGAUGAUAACCAGAUCUCAGAUCAAUCUUGGAGAAUACCUUGGCCUUGGCUAAUUGAUCAAACAGGAUAUUAAUGUGAGGCAAUGGAUACUUGUUUUUAAUGGUCACGACAUUCAGCGGACGAUAGUCUACACACAUACGUAGAGACUUGUCCUUCUUCUUGACAAAGAGAGCCAGACAACCCCAUGGAGAAGAACUAGGCCGAAUAAGACCUUUCUCAAGAAGUUCUUGCAAUUGCUUUUUCAACUCUGCCAAUUCGUUGGGUGGCAUUCGAUAUGGCCUUCUAGAGAUAGGUGCGGUACCCGGAAUUAGAUCAAUUUUAAACUCAAUGUCUCUGUCCGGCGGCAACCCGGGCAGAUCCUCAGGAAAGACAUCCGGAAACUCACACACUACCAGAAUUUCUGCCACAGUAAGUGGUCGGAUAGCAUUAGCAGCAUGAUGAAUGUCAUCAUUCUUGGGAAGCUGGACUAAGAAGGCUUCUUUGUUAUCAGGCUCUCGCAACAUAACCACCCUCGUGGAGGUGUCUAUUAGUACUCCGUUAUUUCUCAUCCAAUUCAUCCCUAAAAUAACAUCUAUGCCCAAACCCGGCAAAAUUACAAGAUUUGCUGAAAAGUUACGACAAUAGCAAUAUUCACAUCCUUCACUAAUUGGUUCGUGGAAAUUUGGUUCCCAGCAGCACUAAUGCAAAACUUGCCACUGUCAAGAUCAACUACAUGUUGUCCAUGCUUAGAUGCAAAUGCUUGACUCAUAAAUGAAUGCGAAGCUCCAGAAUCAAACAAGACAACUGCAGGGUGUUGAUUUACAAUGAACAUACCAGCGGUGACUGCUUCACCCUCAGGGAUUUCUUCAACCGUGGUGUAGUGCACACAACCAGUAUGGUUAUUGCCUCCAGCUGUAGAAUUUCUCUUAGGAUAAGGGCAAUCUCUCGCGUGACCAACUUGCUUACAAUUGAAGCAGGGGCGGUUAUCAGGAGGAGUCUUGGGACCUCCUUGACCCGUGGCACCUCUUGGGAGCGCAACUGUGAAGGACUUGCGAACUCCCGUCUUCACAUUUGACUUUUUCUACGGUGGCCCGUACCUUGUCACAGCAUUGGGUGGGCGAUAGGCCGGUUUGCUUGUCACUGGAGCCUUGGACUGUGAAGCACCUGCCUCAUAGGCCCUCUUGCGGUUCUUGGACGCGGCAUACACGGCAUUGGAGUUCUCUUGAGUCAACGCAUCACUUACAAACUCAUUAAAGGUGGUACUCUUGUUACCAGCCAUGUUCUUAGACAACUUGGGUCCCAACCCUCUCUUGAAACUAGCGAGCUUCUUGGCUUCGGUGUCAACCAUCUCAGGAGCAUAGCGAGACAAAUUAUUAAAAGCAUGAAGAUACUCCGUCAAGCUUUUAGUGCCUUGCGUCAGGUUCAUGAACUCGGUGUGCUUGAUAGUCAUUAAGCCUUGGGGAAUGUAAGUAUUCCUGAAAGCAGUUGUGAACUGAUCCCAGGUUACAACAGCAUUGGCAGGCAAGCUGGUCCUGUAAUGACUCCACCAGACACCUGCUUUGCCCUCCAACUGGUGGGCUGCAUAUUCCGCCUUUAGCUCUUCGGUCACCCUCAGCAAGCGGAACUUCUGCUUGAGAGUGUUGAGCCAUUCAUCACCUUCUAGAGGUUCGACAGCCUCCUUGAAAAGCAGCGGCUUUGUGUCUUGGGAAUCCUUGAAACUGCUGUACUGAUUUGCCUCUCCGCCUUGGCGGGCAUGGCGACCACCCCGGUUCUGCUGCGCCAUAGUUUGCAUAGCUUCAUUGAGCAUUCGCUGGCCCUCAAUAAGAGCUGCCAAUAGCUCAGUAGGCGUAGGCGGGGGAGGAGGUGGUGGUGGCGGCACCUCGUUAUGACUGGAGCGAGUAUUGCGAGCCAUCUGCACAAGGCAUACCAAGCGAUUGUUUCAGGCAAUAGGUAUAAUUGUCAUGAACUUCAAUUGCUGCCAUACGGAAUUUAAUAAAGUAAAUUCACAUAAAUUAAAGGCGCAAUAAUCCAUGUACAAUAAGAGAAUAUCUUCCAUGACACUUGGUUAUUCUCGCGAUCAAUCACAGUCACAAUUUCUCAAAGAUUAAAGACAUGGCAGAGAAUUAUUUAGGCUCAACAUAAACAUGGAGCAUCACAAAUAAGUGCAUAGGGUUACAUAGAGUCAUUACCACACUUAAGGUUUUUACAGGAGGGGCACCAUGGCCAAAUACAUAGAAUCUCAACAAAAAUUCAGAUUACAUGUCCAUUACACAAAGAGAUGGAACUGAUACACGAUCAUGGAAUUAUUGCUAGGCUACAUAUCUUCAUCAGAUUCUCCAUUAGAAAUGAUGCCAUCAUCCUGAUCUUCCUCAUUAGGAACUUCUUCAUGAUUAAAAGGGGCUGGAUGUGGAAUAGGAUUUAUGAUAUUAUUUAAGCGAUGGACAUCUAACUGCAGCUCAGCAAUCCUAGUAAUCAGCUCUUCCUCUCUCAUUUCAGCAUGGAACAAGGCUCUAACUCUAGCACCUUCUCUAUUUUCAGCCAAGCGCAUAUAGCCUCAUCUCUCUCUCUAGUCAUUUGCAUCAUGCGGGCUUGUGCUUCAUUGCGCUCCCUAACUGCAUUCUCAACUUGGUUGCGGCGGGCUUGCAAAGCGGUAUGAUAGUUUUGGAUUUCAGCUUGUGCAUCCAUAAAAGCUUUGCGAUGCUUGCGCACUCGCUUGCGCAGUUUGCGCUGCCCAACUUGAGCUUGUUGAAGCGCUAGCUUGGCGUCUAUGUAAGUGUCCUGUCGUAUAUAGUACAGCUUAAGCACCGCUAGCAUGGCACUCAUGGCAGGGCUAGAGCUAUAUCCUAGCAGGGUUUCUCUCAUCUCUAAAGGCUCAUUCCCUAUCUGAGACACAAAUGUGUCAGUCACACUCACUCUGGGGAUGGAUCCCGCUGGGCCAUUCACUAACUCAUCACCAUAAUCUUGGCAUAUCUCUAGCAAAACCUCUAGGGUUGCUACUUGGGCACCCUCCCAAGGAGUUUGGCCAUCACACUCAACUAUCCAACCUAGCCACUGUGGGUUAUUUCGACAAGGGGAACUGUAAUUUGGACAUCUACCCAAGGUAAGGCUCCUGCAUGCUCAGACUCCGUCCAAGUGUCCUUAGGUGGUUCCUCAUAUCCAACUAAACUUAGCACCCUCCACAACAAAGUAGGAGUGCCAAACAUGUCCAGGAAAGUCUCACUUGCGUGCGGGGCUGCCAUCUGUAGAAAGACCACAUUUGGGUAAGGGAGAUUAAUUACAAGGAGAGAUAAAUAGAUAUAAUUUCAGAAUUUAAUACCAAGUAGUGCAUAAGAAUGUAUGAAUGAUUCAUGAUGCAUGCACGUUCCAUACGUCCUUUCCAUUCCUAGAAGAAAGUUCUAACGGUAUAGUUGGUGGCAUACAUACGUGCACUCUUAUACGCAACUACACGGUCUACACGUUUCGUUGUUAGUGUACCUGCAGAAGAUUUCAUUUCAGCCCAACCCCACAAUAGUAUAAGUGCAGAAAUGUAAAACCAAUCAUCAACAAUCAAGCUAGGUACUCCGAUAUAUAUUCCCGAACAUAUAUCGCAGCACACUACCCAUUUUGGAUACACCCACAUAUACAUCAAAUAUGUAUACAUGGCUGCACCUACUACUCACAAUUAAGUACCUUCAUAUAUACAUGUGUGAAACACGUAAAUAUUCCGGUAACCACAGCUAACACUCCCCUAGACCAACGGUUGGACGGUCAUGCUCUCACAGCUCACACUUACCGUAGCGUAGAGGCAUAUCGAUCCAUACAUUACCACUCAAGCAAGUGGCAUCCAUACAAUUUCACGCCGUAUGGACGACGAAAGAAAACAAACAAUGCUUACCAUGGCGUAGAGGUAUGUGAUCCAUUCAUUACCACUUAAGUAAGCGGUAUCCAUAUAAUUGCACGCCAUAUGGACGACGAAAGGAAAAACCCCCAUGUUAGAAAUGUUAAGCCACCUAGAAGUCCUUAUAUGGGCAUAAAGGGCAUGACCACUGGCAUGGUAUAAGUUAUCAAAAUGUUUUAAAACAGCCCUAUGUAUAGUCUAAUUUUGCCAAAUUAGUUUGAGAAAACAAAAUUCAUUUGUUUUCAAAUACAUCUAUGAUGGUUAAAUGACUAAUCUUGCUCUGAUGCCAGCUGUAACAGAACCGUCCAAUUUAUAAGAAUUCAAGUGAAUUAGCGACCACGGAGGCAGUCAAGCCAAUGGACUUGAACCCAUAUAAACCCGAUAGUCCGACGAAAUCUCAAAAGACCUCGAUUCAACCAACAUACAACCAAGAUCGUACAUGAUCAAGCAUCACCAUCACAGAUUACAACAUUCAUCACAGAACAUAGUUUUACAUCACAUCAG